rnacentral:rRNA from 1 species
AGAGUUUGAUUCUGGCUCAGAACGAACGCUGGCGGCAUGCCUAACACAUGCAAGUCGAACGAAGGCUUCGGCCUUAGUGGCGCACGGGUGAGUAACGCGUGGGAAUCUGCCCAGCAGUGGGGAAUAACGAUGGGAAACUGUCGCUAAUACCGCAUACGCCCUUCGGGGGAAAGAUUUAUUGCUGUUGGAUGAGCCCGCGUCCGAUUAGGUAGUUGGUGGGGUAAAGGCCUACCAAGCCUGCGAUCGGUAGCUGGUCUGAGAGGAUGAUCAGCCACACUGGGACUGAGACACGGCCCAGACUCCUACGGGAGGCAGCAGUGGGGAAUAUUGGACAAUGGGGGAAACCCUGAUCCCAGCAAUGCCGCGUGAGUGAUGAAGGCCUUAGGGUUGUAAAGCUCUUUCGGGUGGGACGAUGAUGACGGUACCACCAGAAGAAGCCCCGGCUAACUUCGUGCCAGCCGCUGC